AUUUUAUUGUCACAAACAACAGGAGUUGCCAUUCCAUUACAUGCUUCAAGCUUAGAUGAUGUUUCUCUUGCAUCAACUCCAAAACGUCCAAGUACAUCACAGACUGUUUCCACUCCUGCUCCAGUACCUGUUAUUGAAUCAACAGAGGCUAUAGAGGCUAAGGCUGCCCUUAAACAGUUGCAGGAAAUUUUUGAGAACUACAAAAAAGAAAAAGCAGAAAAUGAAAAAAUACAAAAUGAGCAGCUUGAGAAACUUCAAGAACAAGUUACAGAUUUGCGAUCACAAAAUACCAAAAUUUCUACCCAGCUAGAUUUUGCUUCUAAACGGUAAGAGCAGAAAAUUUGAAGAAGGAAAAGGAAAUGCUUAAAUUGUCUGAAGUUCGUCUUUCUCAGCAAAGAGAGUCUUUGUUAGCUGAACAAAGGGGGCAAAACUUACUGCUAACUAAUCUGCAAACAAUUCAGGGAAUACUGGAGCGAUCUGAAACAGAAACCAAACAAAGGCUUAGUAGCCAGAUAGAAAAACUGGAACAUGAGAUCUCUCAUCUAAAGAAGAAGUUGGAAAAUGAGGUGGAACAAAGGCAUACACUUACUAGAAAUCUAGAUGUUCAACUUUUAGAUACAAAGAGACAACUGGAUACAGAGACAAAUCUUCAUCUUAACACAAAAGAACUAUU
rnacentral:lncRNA from 1 species